rnacentral:rRNA from 1 species
AUUGAACGCUGGCGGACUGCUUUCCACAUGCAAGUCGAACGGCAGCACGGACUUCGGUCUGGUGGCGGGUGGCGAACGGGUGAGUAAUGUACCGGAAAGUGCCCAGUCGUGGGGGAUAACGUAGUAAAAAUUACGCUAAUACCGCAUACGAUCUAGGGAUGAAAGCGGGGGAUCGCAAGACCUCGCGCGAAUGGAGCGGCCGAUAUCAGAUUAGGUAGUUGGUGGGGUAAAGGCCCACCAAGCCAACGAUCUGUAGCUGGUCUGAGAGGACGACCAGCCACACUGGAACUGAGACACGGUCCAGACUCCUACGGGAGGCAGCAGUGGGGAAUUUUGGACAAUGGGCGAAAGCCUGAUCCAGCCAUUCCGCGUGCAGGAUGAAGGCCCUCGGGUUGUAAACUGCUUUUGUACAGAACGAAAAGGUUUCUACUAAUACUAGGAGCUCAUGACGGUACUGUAAGAAUAAGCACCGGCUAACUACGUGCCAGCCGCAGCAGUAA